rnacentral:lncRNA from 1 species
ACAGAACCUAGUGCUUGGCAGUGGUCUGAUGUGGAUCGGCCUGUUCAGAGACUCUUGGAGGUGGUCAGACCAGAGUGACUCCUCGUUCAGAUACUGGGGUCCCAACCAGCCCAUUAAUCGCUUAGGGAAUCAGAACUGUACUGCAGUAUGGGAAGGAGUAUGGACAGAACAUCAUUGUAUGUAUAGGAUUCCCUUUGUUUGUUAUGGAGGUGAGUCUUCAUUUAUUUUACUUAAGUGAUCUCUUAAGUAUCUUUACAUCAUGGCCUACUAUAGCAUGGGCAACAUUUGUAAAAUGCAUUGUGACAAAUGCCACGUUUGCUGUCAAGGUUACCUCUCACUGUAACAAUAAACAGGACACGUCUGUGUAUUUCUAUGCUCCUCCCCCUAGUGAAGAAGACACAGCAGAUGGUGAGAGUGAGGCUGACCACAAAGGACCAGAACAUGGACCUGACUGAUCCUGACAUGCGGGAAGCCAUCUUGCAGCAGAUAAAGAAGGAUCUGAGGGAAAAGGGGAUGUCUGAUGACGUCAAACUGAGAUGGAAGGGGCAUCCCGAUGGAAACAUAUUCCGCAAGGAAAAAAAUAUGGAUCCCCAAAAGAAGAAAAUGAAGGAGAGAAUACCAGUUAUGACAAAGGGAGAACUCUAAACUUGGAGAAUUAUAUUUCUUAUUUUCUGGGAAAUUCUAUAUAUUAUUUUACCUGAUUUUGAUUUUUUUUGUUCUCCAACUAUAUGGAAUUUGCAUAUUUAUAUAAGGAAUAAUAGAUACUAUCCUAAAAUAUAUAACCCGUAUUUGGUGAAACUGCCUCAUCCUUUUGUGAUAUUACAACAACAAAUACGUUACUUCAAACAACGAACACUGUUUUACCCCCUCAGACAUCAUUGCAGGCACGAUAGAACUCUGUUUCAUCACAACAGCACAAAAACAAUAGCAAGGCGCUGGGGUGAAUUACGGCGUGGUUUCACCAAAUGUUGAUUCUAGCUUUAAGUAAUACACUGCUAAAAAAGAAAGAAAGUUUAGAACAUGUAUUAGUAGCGUGUGUAACAUUAUAUUCUGUCGUACUCAUUAAGAAUUAACCGUUUUGUUUCAAUUGAUGAUGAUAUGAGUAUAUGUUAAAAUUCAUAUACAGUGCCUUGCGAAAGUAUUCGGCCCCCUUGAACUUUGCGACCUUUUGCCACAUUUCAGGCUUCAAACAUAAAGAUAUAAAACUGUAUUUUUUUGGGAAGAAUCAACAACAAGUGGGACACAAUCAUGAAGUGGAACGACAUUUAUUGGAUAUUUCAAACUUUUUUAACAAAACAAAAACUGAAAAAUUGGGCGUGCAAAAUUAUUCAGCCCCUUUACUUUCAGUGCAGCAAAACUCUCUCCAGAAGUUCAGUGAGGAUCUCUGAAUGAUCCAAUGUUGACUAAAUGACUAUGAUGAU